rnacentral:rRNA from 1 species
UACGAAGGGGGCUAGCGUUGCUCGGAAUCACUGGGCGUAAAGGGUGCGUAGGCGGGUCUUUAAGUCAGAGGUGAAAUCCUGGAGCUCAACUCCAGAACUGCCUUUGAUACUGGCGAUCUCGAGUUCGGGAGAGGUGAGUGGAACUGCGAGUGUAGAGGUGAAAUUCGUAGAUAUUCGCAAGAACACCAGUGGCGAAGGCGGCUCACUGGCCCGAUACUGACGCUGAGGUGCGAAAGCGUGGGGAGCAAACAGGG